GGGAGAGGAGGCAGUGAAUGUUCCUGAUUAACUUUGGUAUCUGUGGACAUCUGCAUGCUUCCAAUCUGCCACAAAAGGACAGACAUGCUAAGAUUUGGAGCCGCUUUACUCUUGCAUGACGUGGCACUGUCGGCCUGGCGCUGAGUGGGCACAGAGUCGCUACACUUCAGCUGGUUUUGAGCAAGUACAGGGAUUCGAACAAUGGGUGUUACAUUGUAGCUGAGUGACCUGUUGUACCUGGGUAGACCUCCAUUGGAUGGUUUCUCUGCAAAGUGAGGACCAGAGAGUGGGCAGUUGUGCUGAAGAUCUGACGAGGGGCAAAGUUAACGCCAUCGUUCACCUGGAAGUGGAAGCCACCCGACAACGCACCUAAACAAGAAGAGAGCCAGCAGAGGCCGAGUCAGGCCGAGUCAUUCUUUCAUUCAUCCAUUCUUUCAUUUAUUUCAGACUCAUCUUUUAUUCCACAGGUCCAUAAAAAUUACAGUUACAGUAAAACAUUUGCUAAUAAGCACUGUGCAGUACUUCAUUUAAAAACUAACUAUAAUCUGCACAGCUUCUGCUUCGCUCACCACUGUGCACAAACACCAGCUGUCCAUUUUGUAUGUGAUUCUGGGUGAAGUUCAGGAUGUGUCUGGAGGGGGCACUCUUCAGAGCCAGAUGGCCGUUGCUUGGCGGUGUGACAACGAACUCCAGCCCCUCAGACAGAGUGUCAGAGUCCUCUGCACUAAGAUCAUCUAUGGUGAUUUCUGUCACCGAGCCCACCCACACCUGAGGAAACAGGAGAUAAAAUGGAGGGAAAGGACAGGAAGGCUAUUAAGUUUAGCUGUUAAAAAAAGAGAUGGACAUUUUAAGAAGUAUUCUAAUCUACCUUUCAGUGCAUUUCCCAAAAUAUCACACUAUCCCUUUGUUGCAUUACCUUACACAA